rnacentral:rRNA from 1 species
CCCGCUAUGAAGACAGCUGAAGACUUUUCUCAAUGAUGUAAGUGGUGGUGCAUGGUCGUUCUUAGUUCGUGGAUUGAUUUGUCUGGUCUAUUCCGAUAACGAGCGAGACCCCGACGUUCCUAAUAGGGGUAGCAGCCCGGCUCGCCACGCAAGUGGCUUGCUAGCACGCUACCUAAGAUGCUUCUUAGACGUAUCAGAGCCGAUAAGGUUCUUGAAAUGGGUUAAUAACAGGUCAGUCAUGCCCUUAGAUGUUCUGGGCCGCACGCGCGUUACAAUGGUAAACAUUAGAAAGUGCUCUAGUGGCGUUUCCGCGGCCGACGGGUCGCGGUAACCCUUAAUCUCUCCCUUGACUGGGCCAGACUAUUGCAAUUAUUGGUCUCUAACGAGGAAUUUUUAGUAGUCGCAGGUCAUUAACCUGCGACGAAUGCGUCCCUGCCCUUUGUACACACCGCCCGUCGUGCAG